ACCGCGAUAGCUCAGCUGGUAGAGCAUCUGCCGGUAUGGGACAGGGUCGCCGGUUCGAUUCCGGCUCGCGGCG
rnacentral:tRNA from 1 species